CCUACGGGAGGCAGCAGUGGGGAAUAUUGCACAAUGGGGGCAACCCUGAUGCAGCGACGCCGCGUGAGUGAAGACGUAAUUCGUUAUGUAAAGCUCUAUCACCAGGGAAGAAAAUGACGGUACCUGAGUAAGAAGCCACGGCUAACUACGUGCCCGCAGCCGCGGUAAUACGUAGGGGGCAAGCGUUAUCCGGAUUUACUGGGUGUAAAGGGAACGUAGGCGGCAUUGCAAGUCUGGAGUGAAAGUCGGGGGCUCAACCCCCGGACUGCUCUGGAAACUGUACGUCUGGAGUGAAGGAGAGGUAAGUGGAAUUCUUAGUGUAGCGGUGAAAUGCGUAGAUAUCAGGAGGAACACCAGUGGCGAAGGCGGCUUACUGGACUGUAACUGACGUUGAGGCUCGAAAGCGUGGGGAGCAAACAGGAUUAGAUACCCCUGUAGUC
rnacentral:rRNA from 1 species